UUUAUAAGCCCGUCCCUCUCUGCCUUGUUGAGCUCCUCUCAAAGUGAAAAUAGAUGCCCUUAUACACGGAAUUUGACCUAAAUUCAGAGUAAAUUUCUUUGAAUUUCAUAGAAAUUUAUUAUGAAUUUAGGUUGAAUUUUCUCUAUUGGCGCAUCUAUGUUCAUUUUUUAUAGUAAAUAAAAUAAAUAAACCUUAAUAAAAUAAAUAAAAAUAAAUAAACCUUAAUAAAUAAAAUAAAAUAAACUAUUGUAAAUAAAAUAAAUAAACCUUAGUAAAAUAAAUAAAAAUAUCAGCAGUAAAACAAAUAAAAAUAAAAUAAAUAAAGUAAAAUACAUAAGUAAUUAGAAACAAAAUGGAAUAAAAUAAAUAAGUUUUUUGUUGUAAGUAGAAACAAAA
rnacentral:lncRNA from 1 species